CAUGAUACCAAACCAUAAGAAAUAUCACAUAGUCCACAGAAAACUAAUUUUAAGGAAGCUCAUUCUAGUAUUUAGCAUUUUUAUAAUUUUGAUUUGGACUGAAUGACAAUUCAUGCUGACAGGGUAAUUAUCAGAGAGGUAAUAUGUUUUAGGUAUUCCCUGGUAUUCAAGUUAAACACUUUGUUAAUAGUAGAAUAUAAAAAAGGUUAUAAUUCAAAAUACCUGCUGAGAACAUCUAAAAAGACAAUAUAUUAAUAACAAAAGAAAAAAAGGUUAUCAUUCCCAAUACUUUCCCUGAGAAGCAUCCUGCUUUGAUUUGUAUAUAUUGUAUAUAUUGUCUUACUUAAUCGUCACAGUAAUACUUGAGUAACAUUCUAGUUCUAAUUUACACCCGGAAAAAAAUAAGGAUCUAUGUAGUGAAUAAACAUCCCCAUGUUUAUGUAAUAAAUAUUGGGCAGAGCCAAAAAUUUGCAUGUGGUGGAAAGUUAAAGAAAUCUAUCCUUUAAAAUAUACUUGAACUAUGAGCAACUGGACACAUAAAGUAAAUUCAAAGAGCUCACUUCCCUCAUCCGGGGCAUCAGGGGCUUUUCCUGAGGUCUUAAAUGUAUAGUCUUUGCCAAAGCAAGGCUGAAGGUGCUUGGUGUGAGUGGAGUGUACCCAAAUUUCACCAGGUUUUGCUGCCAUCCUAGUUCAGGUGUGAAAUUGAUAGGGACAGAGUAAAUGGACAAAGUAAGUGAUUCAACAGUUAAUCCCACUAGGGGACUGUAAAAAGAGAAAAAGGUAUGGGAGACCCCUGUAAGUGAAGGAUUACUCAAGAAAGCAGUCUUGCCUAACAACAAAGCCAACCAGGCUUGCUUAGCAACAAAACCAUGCAACAGAAGCAUGAGACAUGCCUCCAAACAAUAAAACAAUGGUAAAAUGAGACCCACAUCCUGCCCAGUAAGGUCAGUAAUUUAAUGAUUACUAGGACACUCUCUGUGCACACUAAAAACAAACAUAUAGGGAGAGGUGACAUUAUACAGAAAUCUGAAAGGAUUUACCACAUUUUUAGUAUAUGUUCCCACAUUUUCGCUCAUUUCCACUGCCACCAUAACAGUCCCAAUUUGACAGCGUAGGGACAAGCAACCUCCCCUGCCUGGCUGAUGAUGGAAGUUUGACACUACUUCAGAAUGAGAAAGAAGGCAGUCUUCUCCCUCCAAACCCCGACUUUUCUUUUGAUUAUAAAACUGUAAACAACUAAGGAUGAUACAACUGUAACCCACUAAGGCGGCAUUCCCUCACCAACAUGCCGGAAAACCUCACAAGCAUCCUAUUCUAAUAAGUCAUUUCUUAUCUCUCACUUUGCCUCUCACUGAAUUCUUUCAGCACUGGGACCUAAAGCUCCUUGGUAACCCCCCCACCCCACCCCAAGGCACAUUUCUAUGGUUUUGAAAUAAGCCAGGUUAUGUGGCUCAUCAGUGCAAUUACUAAAGCAAGUAGUGAAAGAAAUGCGUGUUUUAGUGAGAUGCACCAAAGCUCUAGCCCUCCCCAGCCCAGCCCCCUCCGUAUUCUCUCCCUUUGAUGUUAAAACCUGGUUAAUGCCUUUUCCUCCGGGUUGUUCUGAAGAUUAAAAGAGAUCAUCUAUGUGAAGUGAUUACUUCUGUGCUUGACACAUAAUAAGAACUCAAGAAUUGUUAGCCAUUUUUGUAAUUACUCAUGCUUCACAAACUGCUUUCAUCCAGGCCAUUUUAACCCUGAUUAUAAUAAUUCAGUGCGGUAGGCAUCCUUGUCCUCAUUUUUCAAAGAAGGAACUUGAAGCUCAGAUAUGCUAGGUAUCAGCUAACCAUGCAGUCAAUCCUAAAACUACAAUCUUUGAAUGAAAUCUCAUGUUUUUUUCCUACCACAUUGCUAACAUCUGAAAGAGAAACCAAACCUACUUUUCUUGUGAAGAUCUCAUAUACGUUGUACUUCAAUGUGUUUUGCUCCAGCCCUCCUCUCUGCCUUUGCUGUGCCUCUCACCUCCAUCCAGAUGGAAAGCUUGGUCCAUUGAGCUACUAAGGAACUCUAGUCAUUGCCUGUUUUCACUGAGCUCUGAUUACACUUCUGUCCUUGCCACUUGAUUAUUGAUACUACCUUUUAUUUUCCACAUUUUCAUUUUUUAGUGAGGCUCUCAUUUUCUUAUUGAUAUUUGGAGUUUUCUCAGGUCAGUGACUACAUCUGACAAUUAUUUGAUUCUCUCACAGUCCCUAUUGAUUGAUUCAGUCAGUCAUAUAAGCCAUUCAACAAAUAUGUCUACUUGUCUAUCCUACAUGCCAAGGAUAUAUUUCUUUUCUUUUCUUUUUUUUUUUUUUUUUGUCUUUUUGGCAUUUCUUGGGCCGCUCCCGCGGCAUAUGGAGGUUCCCAGGCUAGGGGUCGAAUCGGAGCUGUAGCCACCAGCCUAUGUCAGAGCCACAGCAAUGCGGGAUCCCAGCCGCGUCUACAACCUACACCACAGCUCACGGCAACGCUGGAUCGUUAACCCACUGAGCAAGGGCAGGGAAUGAACCCGCAACCUCAUGCAUGGUUCCCAGUCGGAUUCGUUAACCACUGCGCCACGACAGGAACUCCAAGGAUAUAUUUCUUGACUGACCAAAUUCUCUGUUCUUAUCUUAAUGUAAGGUGGUGGAGACUAAAAGUAAAUACACUGAUAUCUCCAUAAAUUAGAAAAAAUAUCAGAGAGUAAUAAAGGCUAUGCUGACAAUUAAAAUAAGAUGUGAUUAAGAAUGACUGGGUGAUUGAGGUAGUGACUUUGUAGUUGACAUAGGAUUUACAAGAAGGAACCUGUAGUAGAUUCAUUUUUGUUUACUGAAUAAUCAGUAAUCACAAAGUAAUAGAUUAAACCUGGAGGAAUUGAAAAUCUGGUUCAAGAGAGAAAUAAUAGGUAAAUAAUUCUUUCUUCCGGCUCUUGUUAGAGGCAAGAAACUUCAGGGAUGUUUUCAAACAUUAACAAUUCUUUCACUCCCAUUCAAAGUUCUAGCCCUGAGGUUAUAUUAUAAUAGAAAAAAGUGAAAAGUUGUGUUUUUAUGUAAUUUGUUAGCUUAUAGGCAUGGUCAAAAGGACACACAGGGAAGGAAUACACUUGACUUCAAGUGAGUGAUAACUAAACUGUAUGUCUAUUUAUCUCACCCAGUGAGGCAUCUAGAAGUAAGCUGUCAAUGACCAGAGCAGAAGCUCUGCAGUGGUAUCAAGUAGACUCCUCCUAAUUUCUCACUCCACCAAGCUAAGCAUGAAGAUUUCAUCUUUAUGGUUGUAAUUUGGUUGCAUUAUAGUUAUUGCUGAAGGGCAUCUGUCAAUCAUAAUAAGAACCACAAGGGCUGGCCCAGCUACAACACUGGUUAUUGAUAGGCUUAGACCAGCACGAAGUAAUAGUACAAUAGUGUUCAAUAGUACAAUAGUACAAUAGUGUUCAAACCUAGUUUCAAUGCAGGUCACAGUCACAUCCUGGGAUCUGAUGAUAACAUUAACCAGCUUUCUGUGAGCUUUGAGUGCUCAUUGGUAUAUAGAUAAAAUGCGUGCUACAUACCUAGGUAUGCCUGAUACUAGGCACUGGUGAUACAAAGAUUACUAAGACACUGCAGGAUGGGCAUACAUUUUCACCAAUAUGGAAAUUCAUUGUGUCAUAAAUUUGAUACAGCUCUAUUAUUUACUCAGUUUUAUUGUAUAUUAGCUACUGCUGGUUGCUGAUUUCCUUCCCAUGAGAAUAUAAUUUUAAAUGAAUAUCAAAUAUCAAAUGCUAGUUAAUACGUUCAACUCAGUAAAACAAGCAGAUAAGCCUAUAGAAAAAGAGAUUAAAAACAGAAAAUAUUAAGUGUUCAGUGAGCUUUUCUGGUCAACAUGAAAUUUAUAUUUUCUUUCUAAAAUCUGAGUCUAUCAGUUAGUUCUUGAAAAUCUACCGCCUAUACAAGCUAUUGACAAUAAAUUGCUUUUCCUACUUGUUUCUGGGACAUACCAUUCCCAAUGCCUCUUUUCUUUCUCCCUUUCAAUGAUCUUUUGGGCUGAGACACCAUCCAAAUACCUGUUUCUUUUGUAAAAUAUGUCUCCAAAUGAGGAUGUCACACUUCUGCAGUACCUUUAUGAGGCUGCAAUUCACCUACCCAAUUUGGAAAUGGAAGAGUCUUUGGGGAAAUGGAGAAGUAAUAGAGGUUUUGGUUGGCCAGUGACUUGUUUCAUAAGGGAAAAUUGAUGUCACAUGGCCCUUAAGUUAGAACAGUGCAUUAACACAAGGGCAACAUCUUAAACCUUCUGUAAUCCAAAGGUUUAAAUCACCUACUUACAGUAGAAAGUUACAUCAUUCCCUUGAAGCUCUAUCUAUAUAAAUUUGGAAUAUGCUUCUAUCAGUUACAAAUUUAAUUAUAUGAUUAAUUAAUAUUAUUUUCACAUUCUUUAGGGCUAAUAGAAAGAAAAACCUAAUUAUUGAUGACUCUGUCACUGCUGGUUUAAUUUUAUUAGCAAAUAUACUUCAUUUUGGAGUUGGGAUUAUACAAAUGCAGUUUCUUAGAAUUUUAGCAGUUUCUCAUGAGCAAUAAGAACACAAUUUUAUGACUGUGUAUUGUGAGAAAGCAUCUGGAAAUUCAGAGAGUCAUCAAAUGGCUUGUUUUUGACAUGUGCCAUUUUGCUUCCCAGUAGCACCUUGGAGUAAGUUACUUCUCUUUUUCAUUGCAUACUCUGGAGGCUAAAGCUUAAGCUUGGAACCUCUAGCUGCUUCAAGGUAGGGACAGUGCUUCAGCCACAUCCAGCACCUUUUUAAACCUGGGGAAAAUUCUCUUCAAAUGACCAGCACAGUAUAAUUAAAUUAUUUUGUUUUUCUUGGGGUUAUUAGAAUUGAGCUAAUUUCAGGAAACUGGUGGGCUUUCAUAACUGUCCCUAGUUACCAGAAGUUUGCCUGUAGGUCUCCUAAUUAGAGCCCAUUGUUUCAGCUCCCCUGACCUCCCAUUCCUGGAUCCUGGGCUUUGAACUCUUUUCCAGAGCUUGAUUCAUUUAUCGAAUUGCAGCAUUAUUUUUGGCAAUUACCUUAGAUUAACCAUGAUUCAUUGAUACAUCAGGUAACAUCAGAGAUCUGACAACCAUGAACAAGACUCUUAUUCCCACUGUGCCAUAGACCAGUGGUUUUACCUCCUAAAUAAUUUCUGAGAUAUCAGGCAGCUGACAAAUAGGAAUUAAAGAAAGGGAAAAUGUGCUACCUAUGGCUUUCUGCAAUAAAGAGUGCUCAAGGCAUGUUUAAUGUUCCUUUGUCUUUUCAGAGCAGAUUGUUAGAUGGUUUCCUACAUUCUAUCUGAUUCCUCUGAUUCAAAUGGCCUUUAUGCCAAUCUCUCUGAUUUAUUCCUCUAUUCUCAAAUACUGGAGUUCCCAUUGUGGCUCAGUAGAAAAGAAUCUGACUAGUAUCCAUGAGGAUCCAGGUUUGGUCCCUGGCCUCUGUCAGUGGGUUAAGGAUCCGGCGUUGCCGUGAGCUGUGGCGUAGGCCGCAGAUGCAGCUUGGAUCUGGCAUUGCUGUGGCUGUGGCAUAAGCCAGAGGCUACAGAUCCCGUUUGAACCCUAGCCUGGCUGGAAAUCUCCAUAUGCCGCAGGUGAGGCC
ensembl:lncRNA